UCGGCCGUGGGCGAGUGGUUAAUGCCAGCAGUCUCCAAAACUGCCGAGAGGAAACUCUCACGUAGGUUCGAAUCCUACCGUCCGAG
rnacentral:tRNA from 1 species